rnacentral:rRNA from 1 species
AUUUACUUUUAUUAUGUUGGUGUAUAUCUGGUUUAAUAUUAUUGUUGAAUAAUAUAGUUUGUGUAGUAUUUAGUUAAGCCAAGUCUAUGUGCUGCUUAUAGAAGUAUUCAUGCGUUACUUUUAUAAAGUUUUAGCUGUAAUGCUAUCAUAUUUAGGACUUAAAAGUAAUGUCAAAUUAGUUUGUUGAUGUGAAGUAAGUUUAGCUCAUGUACACACCGC